UACAGAGGGCUCAAGCGUUGUUCGGAUUCAUUGGGCGUAAAGGGUGCGUAGGUGGCUCUGUAAGUCGGGGGUGAAAUUUCGGAGCUUAACUCCGAAACUGCAUUCGAUACUGCGGUGCUUGAGGACUGGAGAGGAGAGUGGAAUUCAUGGUGUAGCAGUGAAAUGCGUAGAGAUCAUGAGGAAGACCAGUGGCGAAGGCGGGUCUCUGGACAGUUCCUGACACUGAGGCACGAAGGCCAGGGGAGCAAACGGG
rnacentral:rRNA from 1 species